ACAAAUUUUCAGACCAUUGUCCA
rnacentral:siRNA from 1 species